GGAGUGAAAAGGGAGAACCAAACAAAAUAAACUUAAAAACGAUUUUCAAUAUUAAAGGUUUUAUUGCAACUGACUAGCUUAAAAAUACUUUGUUUGCAAUAAAGGGUGUUUUUAUAAACGUGUGGUGUUGAAGAAAAAAUAAAACACAUAUAAUUUAAUGUUAUAGCCAGGAAUUUAGCUUUAUUAUAAAGUUGAGGAUUUGCUAUUCACCAAUAUUGUGGAACGUUAAGUCUUUGAAAACUCUUUUUUUUCACUCAAAAUUUGGCGGCGGAAAAGGACAACUUUGGCGGAAAAUGUAAGAAAUGUUUAUAAAUAACAACAAAAUAAUCGAUAAUAAUUCCUACUAAAAGAAGUAAAACAACAAAUAGAAGGCAAUGCGAGCUGCUUUUGAAUAAAGUGCAAUUACACCCCGAUAUCGCCAGAGGCUAUUCGAAGGAAAAUAAAGAUAUAUAAGAGUUUUGGAGUGCAGGGCCAGUCAAAAACUGAGUGGAAAAAGAAAAGACAUGUAAGGAAAAAAGCGACAGAAUAUAAAGCUAACCAAAGAGCAACCGGAGGUAGCCCUAAUAAAACAGUCAAGUACACAGAUGUGGAAGAUGCUAUAUUACAACUUAUAGGUGUUAACGAAGCUUUGAAAAGUUUUGGCUCACCCUUCGGCCUCCCCCUGAGAAAAAAAAUAAAAACUAACGUAGCCGAAGAGAAUGGAGGUGAUAUAAAUUAUGUUUUUAAAAUGAUUCAGGCGAGUGACUGCCGUCGCGUCUGUCUCAAAUAAAUUCUAGCCGAGAUGCCCAAUUUCUUACCGUUUUUUGCAGCAAUUCUAGUGGUUUUAAAUCACAAGAUUAAGUCGGCCGCGUUGAAAUAAGCUGUUCUCCAAAUAAAACAAAAAGGCUUUUAAUAUAAACUUCUAAUAUUUCAUUCAUAAUAACAGGAAAUAAGUACUUUGGAUUUUUAACAGCUACUUAUGUCACAAAAAACAAGCUAAACUGAAGUAUUGAAAAAAUUUACUUUAAAUGUUUUACUUUUAAAAUCAUCACUUACGAA